GAAAACCAAAAGCAUAAUACUUGUAAUAAUUAUGAAGUUAGGAAGAUAGAAUUAUUUUCUGCUUCAAAAGUGUUAGGAAACCAUACUGAAGUGGAUAUCAAAUAAUCUUCAUAAUCUUUAACAAUAUCAACAGAAAAGUCAUUGUACACAUUAGCAUUUAGCAUCGCUCACCAUGCAUAUAGUAAAAAAUGACAGUGCAGUUUCAAGGAUUACACAGAUAGCAAAUUUCUGUGUGUGUGGGUGGGGGUGGGGGGAUUGAAAAUAUAGGGUUAUUUACUGAAAGAAACUUAGACUGUAUCACCCUAAUCCAUCAUUCAGUACCACAUAAGCAGUUAUAUUGAAACCCUUUUGGGUGAGCUGGGACCAAAGUCCACGCGUUGCUACGCGCAUGACCGCCAAACAUGCGGUUGAGGAGCUUUAACCGAUUUUUGGGUCUAGUGUGUUUAUACUAACAUCCACGUCAUAUUAUACUAGGGUGUUUAACCUAAUCCAUCAUAUUUUUUUACAGGAAGAACAUCCACAUCAUCACAAAAGUCAUUUAGUCUAAUUUACCGGCGAAGACAUCAUCUUGAAGAAUUGCUCCAUUCCUUAAGGUAUUAGUAGUGCCCCCAUCAGUUGUAUACCUAAAAGAUUAUUUGUGAAAGUCAUAAUCGCGACUUUGAUAACCACUGUUUACAAAGGAACAAACAUAUUGAUGCUAUCUUUCAGAAGCUUUUCUCUAAACUAAAAAUAAACAAAUUAAUAGAACGAUCGAUCAGAUGAGAGCAUGGUUUCCGAGUCGCGCGACUAGUCAUGACUAGUCGCAAAAAAAUGUCGACUCAAAGUCGACUCGAGUCACGAGUCGCGACUAGUCGCAACUGCAGGCUCGACAUUUCCGAGUCGCUACCCCAGAGCGACUUGGAUGAGUCGCGGCUCGAAAACCAUGGAUGAGAUCAUCACGGUGAUUUUUUAUCAACUGGAUAUCUUUUGACUUUCUUCUUAUUCUGGUUUGUCAGUGCAGAAUGCAAGUACGUUAAUCCAAUGUAAAGUGUCGACAAAAGGCAGAUCUUGUAUAAAAUGUCUUCAUACAAAUUAUCUGUGUAAAGGAUUAUUUGAGCACAUAUCAUUCUUGCUUAUUACAGGAGGAAACUGAUAAGCAGGACAAGAGUAUUAUUCCAGCCCAAUUCUGAAUGCAAAAUAAAACAAAUAGAAUUAGACUAUAAACACAAACAUGGUGCUAGUAAAUGAUAUUUGUGCAGUUAAGGUUUAUAACCUUCCACAAAGGGAACUGCUAGGAAGGCCAAUCUCAAUGUUGUAUGAAAUUUCACCACUACCAUGCCUAGUAAGUAUGCAAAAUUAUAGUAUUACCCUAAAUAACUUUGUACAUAAUCUAUAGAAUAAGUAAUAAAUUUAGCAGACAUUAAUAAGAGGUAAAAAUUAUGAGAAGGGAAACUGCGUACAGAACAAUGUCAUUCCCCAGAUAUCGUCUGGCCAACUGAACAAGGUAAUGAAGGUAAUUCUUGUCAUCUCCAAAUGAACCAAAUUCAUUUUCAAUCUGCUAGACAGGGAAAAAAAUAUUAGUUACUUGUUACACAAAACAUAAAAAUGGUUAUGAAGUGGUUAACCGAUUUAAACCAUGAUGGACUUGCCUGCACCAUGAUAAUUGGACCUCCAUUCUCGUAUAACAGUGGUGCUACUUUUGGGAGCAAGACUCUCCACCAUCUCUCUACCUAUAGAACUAGCUAACCUUGGUCAAAAUAUCUCCAGAAAAUCCCAAAGCAAUGAUGGCAGUAUCAUACAUAAAACCCUAAAACUGGUGAUGUUUUGGGCAGCUUACCAAGGAAAGAUAGGUUGAGUCUGAUGAUCGCAGUUUAAUGGCUGGUUCUAUGGUGAGCAACCAUGGUGGAAAUCCCCCUAAAUCCCAUUCUGCAUGACAGGUUCAAGAAUUCAUAGAUCACAUCGACAAAAAGCUCAACCGAAGGGUAUGAACUAUCACAACCCAAUCAACUCUGAACUCUGAAACUAUAUGGAAUCUGUACUAAUACAAAGAACUUCUGAACCAGGUAUAACAAGUUAGGAACUAAUCGUAGUAAAUUAGCAUGAGGAAAUGAUGGUUUCUGUUCUUGAUCAAGUGGAGGCAUUUUACUCUCUGCUUCAUCAGACAGGGUCACAGAAAACAUCCGACAUGAGAACUGACACUACGACUAUUGUUAGUCCUUUCACUUUUACAGAGUUAUUUUUGUAAGUAAAAGAGCUAGAAAGCCUUAUCAGCCGUAAAAUCAGCAGACUAUGAAAUACAUAUUUCAGCGACCAUAAAAUCAACAGACUAAUUCGAUUAUUUAGAAUAUUUGUCUGAAGUUUAUAUAUCUGCUUAGCCAUGUCUUUGCUAUUCUCAGUACACGGAUACAAUUAUCUUGAUAGUCAUAUUGACAUGCUGAAAUGGUAAAAUUUCAAUAAGCUAUGAAAUUACCUCCACAAAUAUAUGGACCUACACGAAGCAUGACGAGCAUUUCUAAUUCUUGUGCAAGUCUUAGAUACGAUUCAAUGUCAGCGAAACCCUUGAAUUCCCAGCUCUGUGGUUCCGGCUCGUGCAAAUUCCAAGGAACGUAUGUUUGAAUUGUGUUCAGGCCUAGUGCCUUAGCCCUUAAAAGGCGAUCUUUCCAGUACUGCACACAGAGAAUGCAACGUGCAUGUAAGCUUGCAAUAAGAUAUAUGGAAGAACAGAUCAGAAAGAUAUACAGAAACAUUUAUUUCCCUAUCAAUAAAACAAAUUCAUCUCUGAUAGCUUAUUCAGUCAUUUUAUAAGCUGCGUGUAGCAAAAAAUAGACUGCGAGUAUGACAAAAAAAAUGCUACUCCCUCCGAUCCAUAUUAAUUGUCGCUGUUUUAAUACAAACUUUGUACUGAACCAGCGUCAAUUAAUAUGGAUUGGAGGGAGUAGUAAAAUAUUUCAAAGAGAAGCCGCAAUUUCGUCAAUCUAUCACAGGCAUGCAAGCUCAAGGUCACCCGACUUGUUGAAUACAGUCUGUGAUAGAUUGAACACACUGUACAGAAUUAUUAGUAAACUAGUAGUAGUAGAGAAUUUCUGAAAUGCUCCAAAAUUCUGUACUACGAACAUGUACAGAAAUCAAUUUCUGUCAGAACUAAACCUACAACACAUGUACAGAACUGACAGAAUGCGCGACUGCAAAUACUCUGAAAUGCGCCAAACCACCAAUCUAUCAGUUGAACGUCACUUGUCAUCGCGAAUUUACUGACUGAACUCUCCAGCAGAUUGCAGUGACAUGUACAGUAAUACCAGUCGGAAGAGGGGGGAUUCAUUCACCUCGGGGACGAUGCGGAAGUAGUGCACGUCGCCGCCGACGAUCUGGAACGGCGCCCCGUCCUUCCAGAAGGCGUCGUCCUCGAUCCAGAACCUCCUCGAGGCCUCGCCGCGGACCUGGCAACAGCGACACCCGCACCGCACGACGAGUCAGGCGCCGCCAAAACCAAAUCGAUUCAAAGCCCGAGCAAACCAAGGAUCGGUCGGCGCGAGGGAGAGCGCGCGCGCGUACCGUCGAGGAGAGCGCGGAGCACAGCGACAGCGCGAGGAGAAGCGAGAGCCUCCCGAAGCCUCCGGCGGAGGCCAUUGCUUGGCCCCAGUGGACUCCGCUCACCCGCCGCUGCUGCUGCUGCUGCUGCUGAAUGAGUGGAUUCGUUCUAGCUCGUGCCGCGCGGAAGCGUGAGGAGCUGGACGGCGGCUCGGUUUGGCGACGGGCACCGCGUGCGCCGGAGUGAUGGCGGUCUCCGGUGCUGAGGUGGUGGGUAGGGGAGGGGCGCGGUUGCGGUUGCCUGACGCUGACGGGGAAGCGGACUGGGACUCUGUCAUUUUUUCAGUAUAUGAAUAGGCUGUUGUGAUGUGUCGUUUGCCUGGUGGGAGAUGCUGUUUAUCCACAGAUUUUCAGAUUCUUUGGCAUAUCGACGACGUGACGGCACCUCAACUCUUUACUGAACUAUGAGCCGUGAUAAACCGGAAAUCCAAUUUGGCUCGGAGCCCGCAAAAUACCGACCCGCAAAACGUGUUUGUACUGAGGGGCGGAGCCAAGAUUUUGGUAUAAGGGGGGCCAAGUCAAGUUCCUAAACUUUUUCUAGUCCAAAAAAUAACAAUCAUCAUACUGUAAUAUAUGCCACAUGAAACAAAACAUUGAUACAGUUGUAUAAGUUCAAAUUUACCUUUACAAUUGCCUAUAACAUGACAAAAAGGUUAAUAAUUUCACGGGAAGAGAACUUACCUAUUAAAUUUUUUUCAACGUUUAACCCAAGUAAGUCUCUCGUUUGGCGCUUAAAAGAAAAUCAAUAUUUUGGAGGCACUUCUUAGAGCUUCAACUUGCUUGUCUGGUGGCAGCUCCCAAUUUGACAUGUUUUUGCUUGUUCUGCAACACUUCCAUGUCUGGCAUAUCCUAAUCGUGAGUGUCAAUUGGACCAGAUUUAUGACUUGCACACCAGCCUUAUCAACAAUUUCAGUGGAGAACUAGAAAGCAACCCGCUUAAAUAAUGAAUUAACAUGGACUGUGUUUGACAAUGCUUUUCUCUUCAUAGCUGCUGAAUUGCAGUGUCACAAUUAGCUAUAUUGGAUAAGUUUGACAUAGGGAAAAUUUGCAUCGCAAAUAAUUACUCAUACAAGAUAAUUUGCAUCAUGGUCACAAUAAUUUUUAGGACAUGUACAGGAUAGGAAUUCUUCAUAGAAUCGUAGCAUUACAAGUCAGACAACCAGAACAUGUAAACUAGUAAAAUCUGAUGUAUAUGUUCAACAAUUAAUGAUACACGAUGAGAAUUGAGAUUAGUAGAUACAUGGUGUGAUGUGCUGAUGUGCUAAACCUUGGGUCCUUGGCUAGUUUCUGUUGGUUGGAAUCAGGCUGUGUGCCUUUGUCGCGCCGUCGCAGUUAUGCCGUAUGAAUAGGAUCGGGAGUAGUAGGUCUGGAAUAGCGGCGACUAAUCCACGUACAUGUUUUUUUAAUGAGCCUAUUUCACGUACAGGCUAAUCUUUUUUUGGAGCUAAACGUACAGGCUGAUCACGCGAGAACGCAAAGCCAGGCCGCUAGUGUGGGCUUGACAUGGGCCUUCUCCCUUUUCCUUAAAUUAACGCCGUAUGGGGGGGGGGCAAGUACGUAUAAGCGUGAGGAAUACAUGCGUUCCUAUCGCUAAUUACACAGCAUCGUUCGAUCAUUAGGGGGAGGCCCCUGCUCGCCCCUUGGCUCCGCCACUGUUUGUACUUCGAUGCAGAUCUUGUUUACGGGUCAAAAACAUGCGCACCCAAGCAAAAACUAUAUAUGAAACUGCAUAAUUUGAAGAAAAAAAAUCACGGGAGAAAUUACAACCGUAGUAGUUCAUCACAUACUACAUAUACUACAUGGUCAAACACUAAUUCAUUAGGAACACUAGUUCAUACUACAUACUACUAGUACUAGAGGGGGUGGGGAUCUCAACCGCGGCGAGCUCGCGGCCAUGGACGACGCGAUGGAGGAGCUCAAUCCUCCUUGUCGGACCUGCCGAGGUCGUUGUACUUCUGCUUCUGCUCCUCGCGGAUGCGCCGCCAUUCGUCGCCCUUCUCCUUGGCGAGAAGGUUCGCCGCGACCGCCUACUGGAACACGAGGUCAUCAAGCUCCUCCUGGUGGCGCCGGCGCUCCGCCUCCUCGCGCAAGCUGCGUUCGGCUAUGGCGGUCGCGAUCGCAUCAUCAUCAGCGACGAACUCCUCGGGCCCGAUGACACCGCGGCGCACAACCUCCUCAGGCUCCUGCUUGACGGCGAUGACCUCGAUCUCCUCCGGCUCCUCCGACCACUCCCUCUUCACGGGGAGAAGGCUCGCGCCGGAAGAGGAAGAGCUCGCGGCGUGGGAAGAUCUCGCGCCGGAGGACGAGCGCGCGGCGAAGGAGGGCGUACGCCCGUGCCGACGGUCAUAUUCCUCUGUCUCGCGGACGCGGAAGCUCGCCGGCGGCGAGAGGCCCCGGUUCGUCCACUUCCUCGCCCCGUCCGAGCGGACACGCCGCUCGCGCUCGAGGUCGUCGCCGCCGCCGGAUCUACUCUCAGAGCCGCCGUCGGAGCUCCAAAUGCGGCGCCACAUGGCGGCUGGAGGAGGAAUGCGGCUCACCGCGACGAUAAAUGUGAGGAGUGGGCGGUGAAUUGUGGAGAGACGCGGCGGCGGGGGAUAGGGUUUUGACCCGCAAACGCUGCGCGAACCCGUAGAUAUACUGGUCGGGGGCGGUUUGCGGGUCGCGGUAAAUUUUUUCACGGGUCGGGCGAGUAUACGGGCUCUGUUCUGGCAAGAAAAUUGGGCCGAGCCCGUAUACUCGCCGGAAUUUUACGGGUUUGCCCAUUUUGCGGGGUCUAUUAGAGUUGCUCUCGCGGGAGCGCGUGCUCCUGCGCACGAAAAAUGAUUUUUAAAAUGUAAAAGAAAAUUAACAAAAUUUUGUGUAUUCAUAAAUGUUUUUUGCGAAUAGUGUAUUUAUAGUCACAUCCAAAUGCUACCUGUAAAAUUUUAGUCAAAACGGUUAAACAUUUUGGCACGUACAGAAUAAAAACAAAUUGAACACUAAAUGUUACCUAAAAGUGUACCCUAAACUUGUUUUUUCACUGACGAAACAAUAUUGCUUUAUCUUGCAUAAAAGUUGUCAAGAAUGCUUGCGACACUAAUACAAAUAUCCACAAAAUAUUAGAUUUUUAAAAUCUAUUUUACCAUCUUUUUAGGUACUGUUCAUCCAGGAGCAAAUACUCCCGAAGCCAAAAUGCCUCCCCGGGACCAAGUUGUUUUUAUGCACGUUGAAAUGUUUGGGCAUUCCACCUAAAUAUUUAUGGAUAAUAUAAUUAGACGUGAGUUAAUCUCCACAAUUUAUCAGCGCGUCCAUCGUCCUUGAAUCUACACUCCAACAAAGAACAACAUGGCAAGACGCGCUAGUAGGUGCUUGAAAAAGUGUACUUUUAGUUUUAUUGAAGGAUCAAACUAUCUCAAAAUUUGAUCGGAUUUGUGCAAAAAUAUAUCAAUGUUUGUGAAAGGCUGAAAGAAAAUAGUUAUAUGAUGAAAAUAUAUUUUUAUCAUGAAUCUAAUGCUAUUUUUUUUAACACAAUAUAGACGCAAGCGCUCAUACACUCACCCUUAUGAACGCACACACGCACACCCUACCAUAUGAGCACCUUGAGAGACUAAGCCGGCAUAUCAUCUUAAGAAGUCGCCGUAGGCGCCUCGUCACCGAUGGGAACAUCCUCUCCCACUGAGAGCACAUCAUCGAAAAUCCUGAAAUGAAAUCAGGAAUAAUGCGAGCACCAGGACUUGGACCCUGCUGGGCUGGGAUACCACUAUCCCUCUAACCACCCAACUACGGAUUGUUCCUCUGUGACACCUGGAUAACUAAGCUACAAUAAUUCCCUGCUAAUGAUGCCACGUCAUCAUGAUUACUGUUGUUAAAUUCGCGUUGGUUCGAAUCCAGUCCAAAUUCAAAUUUAAACUAAAGUCAAAAAUAAAAGUUCUCAAACAUAGAUUCUAAAAUUUUCAAGGUCUGGCAAAUAAUGUCUGAUUAUUUGUCAUGUUGGAACCAACCUCUUUUAGAUUCCCAGGUGCGCCUGGAAAUUUAUUUAGUGGUCCAGCAGCACUUAAAAUUGGCCUUUCCAAUUUCAAAAAAUAGUUAGACAACUCCUUUUGGCCUCGAACUUUUUGCGACUCCUAGAAAUAAUGUGCUUGAUUUAUGAGAUAAAUCUCAUUUCUAACAACACUCAUUUAGUUUUACAAUUUAAUAGAAAACUGGAACUAAAAUAAAACAGAAAAGAAAACAAAGGAUAAAAGAAAAUCCAAUUUGAAAAUAAAAAAGAGAGAAGCCCCCGGGCCUAGCCCACCUGGGUGGCCCAGCCAGCCCAACCCCCAACACGGUCACUCUUCCUGUUCCCCCGACCAGUCGCUACAGGGGCGAGGUCGACCCCGACCACCUCGCCGGCCUCGCCUCGUGGGGAUAAGACCAACCUCGUCCCCCCUCUCUCCCCUGUGGAACCCUAAUCCCCUCUCCCUUCCUCACGCGCCCCUCGCUCUCUCCACCAGAUCCGGCACGCCGCUUGCGUCCGAAGACGCCGCUGUCGUCGAUGGAAGCCACCGUACCCGUCGCCUGUCGCCCUCGCCUCGCCUCACCGACCAGUCCUUCUUAUCCGCCGACGUCGACCACGUCGUCUGCGUCUUCAAAUGGGCGUCGUGGACAACUGCAGCGCAAGAAUCGAGCUGCCUGUUGGGGAACGUAGUAAUUUCAAAAAAAAUCCUACGCACACGCAAGAUCAUGGUGAAAGUGCAGCUAUCCCUAGGUGGUUUUGGUAAUUCAUAACAACAUAUAGCUCAUUGAGCUAAUGCUAUUCCAAGACUAAUAUUUCAGGAAAGCUCAAUGAAUGGCAUGGCAUGGAUGAUGAAAGUGGAUCCCUCAAAAUAAUAAGGACAAAGGAUUGGCUCAAGCUCAAUAGCUCAAGAAAUUUUAUAUUUUAGUGAUCCAAGAUCACAUUGAGUCUAUAGGAAAAGCCAAUACUAUCAAGGAGGGAUGAGGUGUUGCUUAAUGAGCCUCUUGCUUCAUGUGCUUAGUGAUAUGCUCCAAAACCCUCAGCUACUUUCUCACAUCCACAAAUGACCUAAACCCAAAGCCAAAAUCGGUCACAACGAUUCUUCCUAUCCGGCGCCACCGAUUUUAAAUGUCAUAGCCACUGCCACAAACCCUAGGCAAAUCGGUUCUACCGAUAGGGAUCUCGGUCUCACCGAGAUGGGAUUGUAAUCUCUCUGUUUCCCUUCGUAAUGUUUUGGUCAACCCGAAGUGAGCGAUCGGUCCCACCGAGAUUGCAAUGUAAACUCUCUGUUUCCCUUUUGUAACAUUUCGGUCUCACCGAAAAGAGCAAAUCGGUCCCACCGAGUUUACCUGACCAACUCUCUGGAAAGCUUAUUACCAAAAUCGGUCUCACCGAGUUUGUGUAAUCGGUCUUACCAGAUUAUGUUAUGCCCUAACCCUAACUAAAUCGGUCCUACCGAGUUGCAUUUCGGUCCCACCGAAAAUCACUAACGGUCACUAGGUUUACUAAAUCGGUCCGACCGAGUCUGUUGAAUCGGUCCCACCGAGUUUGGUAAAUUGUGUGUAACGGUUAUAUUUUGUGUGGAGGCUAUAUAUACCCCUCCACCUCCUCUUCAUUCGUGGAGAGAGCCAUCAGACUAAACCUACACUUCCAACUUACCAUUUCUAAGAGAGAACCACCUACUCAUGUGUUGAGGCCAAGAUAUUCCAUUCCUACCAUAUGAAUCUUGAUCUCUAGCCUUCCCCAAGUUGCUUUCCACUCAAAUCUUCUUUCCACCAGAUCCAAAUCCUAUGAGAGAGAGUUGAGUGUUGGGGAGACUAUCAUUUGAAGGACAAGAGCAAGGAGUUCAUCAUCAAUGCACCAUUUGUUACUUCUUGGAGAGUGGUGUCUCCUAGAUUGGCUAGGUGUCACUUGGGAGCCUCCGACAAAGAUUGUGGAGUUGAACCAAGGAGUUUGUAAGGGCAAGCAGGUCGCCUACUUCGUGAAGAUCUACCGCUAGUGAGGCAAGUCCUUCGUGGGCGACGGCCAUGGUGGGAUAGACAAUGUUGCUUCUUCGUGGACCCUUCUUGGGUGGAGCUCUCCGUGGACUCGCGCAACUGUUACCCUUCGUGGGUUGAAGUCUCCAUCAACGUGGAUGUACGAUAGCACCACCUAUCGGAACCACGCCAAAACAUCCGUGUCUCCAACUGCGUUUGAAUCCUCCAAACCCUUCCCUUUACUUUCUUGCAAGUUGCAUGCUUUAAUUUCCGCUGCCUAUAUACUCUUUGCAUGCUUGCUUGAAUUGUGUGAUGAUUGCUUGACUUGUCCUAAGAUAACUAAAAUCUGCCAAACUCUAAAAUUGGGAAAAGGUUAAGUUUUUAAUUGGUCAAGUAGUCUAAUCACCCCCCCUCUAGACAUACUUCAAGGUCCUACAAGUGGUAUCAGAGCUUUGGUCUCCAUUUGCUUUGAUUUCCAUAGCUUUUGGUGGUCAUAGCCUUGGUUUCACAACCUAGGAGAGUAUGGCGUCUAGCAAGGGAAAUUAUCACCGUAGAGGUCCUUACUUUGAUGGUACUAAUUUUGCUAGUUGGAAGCAUAAGAUGAAAAUGCAUAUUCUCGGACAUAACCCCGCCAUUUGGGCUAUUAUUUUUAUUGGCUUGCAAGGUGAAUUCUUUGAUGGGAGAGAGCUGAACCGUGAAGCUAAUGCGGAAGAAUUGAAGAUGCUGCAAUAUCUCAAGCUUGUGAUAUCAUCUUCAACGGAUUGUGCCCCGAAGAAUUCAACAAAAUCAGCCAUCUUGAGAAUGCAAAGGAAAUUUGGGACACUUUGAUUGAUAUGCAUGAAGGUACCGAAUCCGUCAAGGAAUCCAAGUUGGAUGUGCUCCAAAGUCAGCUUGACAAGUUCAAAAUGAAGGAUGGUGAAGGUGUCGCUGAAAUGUACUCUAGGCUUGCUCUUAUUAGAAAUGAGAUUGCCGGCUUAGGGAGUGAAGAGAUGACCCACAGAUUCAUCAUCAAGAAGAUCCUAAGAGCAUUGGAUGGAAAGUAUGAUAUCGUGUGCACAUUGAUCCCAAUGAUGCUAAACUACAAAGAUCGCAAGCCAACAGAAGUCAUUGGAAGAAUUGUUGCUCAUGAGAUUUCACUCAAGGAUAAGGAGGAACUUCACAACAAGUCAAGUGGUGCUUACAAAGCCUCAAGUGAAGCCCCCGCAUCAUCAAGUGAGAAACAAACCUUCAAUGAAGAAUUGAGCUUAAUGGUGAAGAACUUCAACAAAUUCUACAAGAGUAGAAGCAAAGAAAGAAGCUCCAAGUUAAGGUCUUACCAUGACAAAAGAUCUUCCAGUCGAGAGUGCAAUUGCUACAAUUGUGAGAGCCCUAGACACUAUUCCAAUGAGUGUACGGCACCCUACAAAAGAAGAGAAGAUUCUCCAAAAAGAAGAAGCAAAAGAGAAGAAUCACCACCAAGAGAGAGAAGGAGUAGAGAUGAUCGUUAUGAACAAAGACCCUCACGGAGAAGCAAGGAUUCGGAAAGGAAGGACAAGUCAUCAAGGAGCUACACAAAACGAAGACAUCAAGCUCAUGUUGGUGAAUGGGUUUCCGGCUCCGGCUCCGACAAACACUCCGAGAGAAGCUAUCACUCCGACUCCGAAUAUACUCAAGAUGAAGGUGUUGCCGGUCUAGCACUUGUGUCAACCAACUCCUACGACAUAUUUGAUUCACCAAAUGAAGGAAUUGGAAGAUGCUUCAUGGACAAAGGUCCAAAGGUAACACAUCCUGAGUAUGUUGAUUUCAAUAGUGAUGAAGAUGACUUGCUUGUGGAUGAUGAUUUACUUGUUGACAACUCUAGUGAUGAAUACUAUGAUGAAACGUCAAUUAAUCAUGCUAAUCAAGAUGAAACGAAUGACAAUGAUAAGGAGAAGAUUGAGCUUCUAACUAAAGAACUAAACACUCUCAAGUUAGCUCAUGAAACUAUCUUCGAAAAUCAUCGAGAACUUUUAAGGGCUCAUGAGAAGUUACGCUUUGAAAAGCUCAAUCUUGAGCAAGAGUAUGAGUUCUUAAAAGCAAUCAAUGAUGAUCUUCGUAAGAAAAGUUCUUCUUACAUUGCCAAGCGUUUAGUCCUAUCUACUUACAUGCCUCAAGUCAAGUAUAGUAACAAGUACAAGAAAGAUACUUCCUCUAGUAGUAACAAUAAUAAUGUCAAAUCCAAUAUUGUUGCUUCUAGUAGUUCUCUUGAUUCCACCAAUGAUUCUCUUAGCCAAGUUACACUUGAGCAAGAAAAUAGCUUAUUGAAGGGAAUUAUAGAGAAAGGUGUUUACAAGAGCCUUGCCGGGAGUAAACAAUUCGAGGAAAUUGUACGCAAGCAAGGAAGGCACCGGAAGAAUCAAGGUGUUGGUUUUGAACGAAAGUUCAAUGCCAAUGGAGUUGAGUGGGAAGAAGAUCAAUACCCCAAGACGAAGUUUGUUCCUCAACAAGAGAAGUAUGAUCCUACUUCCUUCAAGGGAACACAAGCUCAAGAUGAUCUUCCACCACAAGACCAUAAAGGCAAGGACAAGCUUCAAGAAGAGAUUGAUGCAUUUGAAGAAGCACCCAAGGUCUUGGUCAAGUGGAUUCCCAAGACUACGUCAAGUUCUACUUCAUCAAGUACAACUACAACUCCAAGGAUUCCCAUCAAGAUGAUGUGGAUCCCGAAGAAGAAGAACUAGAGAGUUCUUGAGGGUGACUCCGCCAACAUUCUUCACUCAUAUUAUUAUGGCAAGGACAAGUGCAAUCAACCUCCACAUCUUGCACUAGUUCAAGGAGUCACAAACCCUCAUAUUGGUAAGGCAAGGAACCAGGUAACCUAAUGUUUUCAUGGACAUCAUCUUGUGUGUGCAUCACUCUAUGUCUAUGGAUAUUCUUGUUUGUUCCUUGUGGGACUAACCCAUGUAGGUAUGUUGAAAGUGCAACUCACUCCAAUGGAUUGCUCCAAAUGAUCUGCAUCAACAUUGAGCAUCCACAUCUUCAACACCUACAUGAAGUCAUCAUCGACAAAACCCAAGGUUAGUUCAUCCCUCUAAGCGGGGAUCUCACAUCUAGGGGGAGCUUAACUCUAAGACUUGAGUCAAAGCAACUCUAAUGGUGUGAAUACAUCAAUGCAUUAUGUAAAAGUGGUAACCCCACUUGGGCUUAAACGAUGAGUAUGACCUAUGAUCAAAUGUUUAUCAUUUGACUCCUAAGUCAAUAUACUCAUAUAUAGAUGACCUAGUCAUCGCCAAUUGUUUGAUAGAUGCUAGAAUUGGUUGUGCAUGCUUUGCCACAUAUUUCAUUUGUCAUCUUUUUGUGUGAGCAUGUUGGUGCAUAUUUUACUCAUUCAAGAACAUCCACUUGUUGUUUUGAUUGUUUGGUUCUUCCUUCUUUUGGCCAAGUGGAUGGACAAGAAUGCCUAAGAACUUUCUCUAGCUAUCUAUGCUUUUCUCGUCUCAAACUCUAUUCAUGCUACAUCACAAAAUUUGAUCAAGUCAGAUUCGAACCACUCUGUGUGAGGAGCACUCGAAGUCCCCGAUUCGUCAUAGACUUAAACUUCCAAAACUUCUUUGUGAUUCUCGGUCUGACCGAUUCCUCCAUUUCGGUCCAACCGAGAUCACUAAGUCGAUCUAGGUUUUCAAUCUCGGUGCAACCAAUUUGAACAUUUCAGUCACACCGAGUUGCUGUAACUGAACACAGUUAUGCAUCUCGGUGCCACCGAGUUGUUCCACUCGGUCACACCGACAGGGUCGGGCUAUAUAUAGUCACGGGCAAAAUUUGGAAAUUUCUCUGAACCCCUUCGCCCGCGCAAUAGCUCGCUCUGCCUCCAAGGUCUCCGGAUUGUCUCCUCGUCGCCAGGCGCCUCCUGUCGCUGGUCUCCACCGCCGUCAACGGAAUUCAACCCCGCCGUUGCCGCCAUAGCGAGUUCAUCGCCAAGCUAGGGUAUGGACUCGAUCAUUGUGCUUUCCUCGUCCGAUUCCUAGCACAUUGUGUUCUUAUUGAUUCUUGCCACGAUUCAAACACUCCGAUCCAGACAAUGCAAUCCGUAGAUUAGAUGAGAUUUGAAAAUUUAGGGUUAGGUUUCCGCCGAAACCAUCUCGGACCCACCGAGUUGAAAAACUCGGUCCCACCGAUUUGGCUUAUGCCAUUGCACUAGUAACUCUCGGUCUGACCGAGAAUUGCUAAUCGGUGCGACCGAUUUUAGGACUUUGUGAAACCCUAGCAGUCUCGGUGCCAUCGAACUGUGACUCGGUCCAACCGAGUUCAUCAGUUUAGGUUCCAAAACUGCUUCGGUAUCACCGAGUUUGAAAAUCGGUUGAUCCAAAAUGCUUUCUGUGGAAAACUGAAACUGAAUUUUUGAAUCAUUCUUUUGCAAAAAUCUCUGCAUUUUGUGAUGCUCAUCCACUCCAUCUCAUCUAUAACUCUUCAUAGGGUCAGCAGUCAGAAUUUGUAGCAUGUCAGACCAGAGUGACAGUCAGAACAGGUCAGAAGGGCAGAUGCAAAUGAGUGAGGGCACUAGUCCCUCCAGCACUUCAGAUGAAGGCAGCAGGAGCACUCUUAGCAACCUGCCUAAGGCUGCUACCAGGCAAAGGAAGAAGAGAACUUCAGACUCUGAAGAUGAGGAUUAUAGAGCUGAAGAGGAUGAAGCUACUUCCAAGAAGGUAGUGCACAAAAAGGUGCUUAGUUCAACUGCAGUAAAGCCAAGCAUGAAGAUCAAAAGGCCUGCAGGGAGACAAUCAAUGUCCAAAGCCAGAGCUUCAACUCAACUGCCUGAAAAUCCUGAUCCCCAAGAGCCAGCUGCUGAAGGGAAGAAAGGAAGGAAAGGGUCAAGAAGACCAUGGCCAGAGUUGUUGGGCAACCUUCCAUGAUGGAAGAAGAAGAGCUUGCUGCACCAGCACCAAAGGCACCAAAGCUUAUGGGAGAUGCUAUUAGAUCAGGGGCUGCAACAUCUAAGCCCAAGGAAGCACCCAAAGCUGCCCCCAAGGCCAAGUCUGCACCAAAGAGGAGAAGAACUGCUGUUGAUUACAGGUUCCAUACAAAGGAACAACAGGACUUCUAUGAGACAAUCUUGUUGGACAAAAAGCCCAUUAUGUGUGAUAUGAGGUGGGUCUACUGGACCUACAUGAAGGAAAACGAAGAACACUAUCUAGGAGUUCAAGACAGUUUUGUUGCUUGUGGAGUUGCUGAUUUUGUUGGGCAGAAGCUCACAAACUGGAAUGAUGAACUCAUUAUGCAAUUCUACUCCACAGCACACUUCUAUCCAGAUGGAAGGAUAGUUUGGAUGUCUGAAGGUACAAGGUACCAGUCAACUGUUGAGGAAUGGGCAAAUCUGAUAAAUGCCCCAAAGAAAAAUGAUGAUGAUCUGGAUGUAUAUGCCAAGAAGAAAAUGGGACAUCAUACCAUGGCACAUAUGUACAAGGAGAUCCCAGACAAAGCCCUAGAGACUUCCUCUUUUGGAUCAGUCCACUUUCUUAUGUCAGGGCUGCCUACAAUCAACUGGAUCCUAAGGCACACUCUAUUGCCUAAGUUGGUGACCACAACAUGAUCAGAGGGCAUGCAAUCAACAUGUUGCAUUUGUUUGAUGUGCCUCAGAAAUUCAAGGCCAUGAGCCUUAUAGUAGAAACAAUCAAGAGGACUGCAGCAGAUCAUAAGAGGAGUUGUGGAUAUGCCCCUCAGAUUCAAGAGUUGAUUAGCUCAAAGAUGGGCACAGGUAAAUAUCUAUUGGAUAGGGAACAUUUUCCUCUCUAUCCAGACUUUGAGGAUAAUGAGGUUGUCAUGGAUGAAGAUGAACCAUCAUCAGUUCAAGCUCAAGAGAAGAAGGAGAAGGCAAGGAAGGAGAAGGCUGCCAAGAUGCCAACUCAAGAGGAGGCAUCUGAGUAUUUCUUGAAGAACAAGCAGGAGCAGCUUGGUUACCUAAUAGCAUCAACACUGAGGAUUGAGAAAGGGUUGGCCACCUUAACUCAGAAUCAGGAAAGCUUGGAAAGAAUCAUCGAACAAAAAUUCUAUGAUCUUGAUGUCAAGGUAACUGAGAUUCAGUCAGUUGUGCAGCAGCUGCAGGAUGACAUGCAGGAGAGGAAGGGCAAACUACCACUAAUGUAUUUGCCAGAGUGCCUAGAGCUCAGAGGUCAGCAGCAGUGCCAGUGACAGACACUAGAGCAACAUCAUCUGCACCAGCUACAGCUCCAACAGCUCCAGUGCAACCAGCUCCAGCACCAACUCCUCCAGCUCCCUCUACAUCAACUGAAGCCUUCGUCCAAGGAGCCAUCUCUACACCACCAACUGAAGAUCAAGCCUGAGAGUCGAUCUAGCACUAUGCAUUUGAAGGAAAUAUUCCCUAGAGGCAAUAAUAAAGUUAUUAUUUAUUUCCUUAUUUCAUGAUAAAUGUUUAUUAUUCAUGCUAGAAUUGUAUUAACCGGAAACAUGAUACAUGUGUGAAUACAUAGACAAACAUAUAGUCACUAGUAUGCCUAUACUUGACUAGCUCAUUAAUCAAAGAUGGUUAUGUUUCCUAACCAUAGACAUGUGUUGUCAUUUGAUUAAUGGGAUCACAACAUUAGUAGAAUGAUGUGAUUGACAUGACCCGUUCCGUUAGCCUAGCACUUGAUCAUUUAGUAUGUUGCUAUUGCUUUCUUCAUGACUUAUACAUGUUCCUGUAACUAUGAGAUUAUGCAACUCCCGUUUACCGGAGGAACACUUUGGGUACUACCAAACGUCACAACGUAACUGGGUGAUUAUAAAGGAGUACUACAGGUGUCUCCAAAGGUACAUGUUGGGUUGGCGUAUUUCGAGAUUAGGUUUUGUCACUUCGAUUGUCGGAGAGGUAUCUCUGGGCCCUCUCGGUAAUGCACAUCACUAUAAGCCUUGCAAGCAAUGUAGCUAAUGAGUUAGUUACGAAAUGAUGCAUUACGUAACGAGUAAAGAGACUUGCCGGUAACGAGAUUGAACUAGGUAUUGAGAUACCGACGAUCGAAUCUCGGGCAAGUAACAUACCGAUGACAAAGGGAACAACGUAUGUUGUUAUGCGGCUUGACCGAUAAAGAUCUUCGUAGAAUAUGUAGGAGCCAAUAUGGACAUCCAGGUUCCGCUAUUGGUUAUUGACCAAGAAUAGUUCUAGGUCAUGUCUACAUAGUUCUCGAACCCGUAGGGUCCGCACGCUUAAGGUUUCGAUGACAGUUAUAUUAUGAGUUUAUGAGUUUUGAUGUACCGAAGGAGUUUGGAGUCCCAGAUGAGAUCGGGGACAUGACGAGGAGUCUCGAAAUGGUCGAGAUGUAAAGAUCGAUAUAUUGGACGACUAUAUUCGGAGUUCGGAAAGGUUCCGAGUGAUUCGGGUAUUUUUCGGAGUACCGGAGAGUUACGGGAAUUCGCCGGGGAGUAUAUGGGCCUUAUUGGGCCAUACGGGAAUUGAGGAGAGAGGCCGAAAGGAAGGAGGCGUGCAGCCCCCCUCUGGUCCGAAUUGGACAAGGGGUGCAGCCCCUCUUUCCUUCCUCCUCUCCCCCUCUUUCCCCCUUCUCCUACUCCAACAAGGAAGGAGGGAGUCCUACUCCCGGUGGAAGUAGGACUCCCCUUGGCGCGCCCCUCCUAGGACAGCCGCCCCCUCCCCCCUUGCUCCUUUAUAUACGGGGGCAGGGGGCACCUCUAGACACGACAACACAAGUUGAUCUACGGAUCGUUCCUUAGCCGUGUGCGGUGGCCCCCUCCACCAUAUUCCACCUCGGUCAUAUCAUCGCGGAGUUUAGGCGAAGCCCUGCGCCGGCAGAACAUCAUCAUCGUCACCACGCCAUCGUGCUGGCGGAACUCAUCCCCGAAGCUUUGCUGGAUCGGAGCCCGGGGAUUGUCAUUGAGCUGAACGUGUGCUGAACUCGGAGGUGCCGUACGUUCGGUGCUUGGAUCGGUCGGAUCGUGAAGACGUACGACUACAUCAACCGCGUUGUCAUAACGCUUCCGCUUACGGUCUACGAGGGUACGUGGACGAACACUCUCCCCUCUUGUUGCUAUGUCAUCACCAUGAUCUUGCGUGUGCGUAGGAAUUUUUUUUGAAAUUACUACGUUCCCCAACAGCAUUUUCUAUGAACUUUUUGGUAACUUGUUGCCAAAGGGGGAGAAAAAUGUAUAGAUUAUAGGCUUCGAGAGAGAGAGAGUGUGUUGCUUUUGUUCUCUCUUGCUUUUGGUGGUUUUUAAACUUGUUUGUUUUUUAUUGCUUGAGAUACUAUGCUAUUCUUGUGAGACAUUGAUGAUCAUGUGUUUGAUCAUAAGCUACACUUAUGCAUGUUUGAUGUUAUUAUCCUAUCUAUCCUAUGUGAUCAUUCACUUUGCUUGGUGAUGAGUGCAUGUAUUCAAUCUUUAUCAUUUUGAGCGCUCCACCAAGAUGUAUGUGACAUGGAAGAGUAACCCAUAAGCCUAAUUCCUUGUGCAUUUGCAGUCCAAAGCAAAUCUUAAACCAUGCACAAAUUUAGGGCGAGCUCUUGCUUAUCACAUACUUCUCAAAGCGACGAUGUUUUUAAAUCUUAUUAUCAUUUGUCGAAGCUUUGAUCUAUAUGUUGUCAUCAAUUACCAAAAAGGAGGAUAUUGAAAGUGCAACUAUCCCUAGGUGGUUUUGGUAAUUCAUAACAACAUAUAUCUCAUUGAGCUAAUGCUAUUCCAAGACUAAUAUUUCAGGAAAGCUCAAUGAAUGGCAUGGCAUGGAUGAUGAAAGUGGAUCCCUCAAAAUACUAAGGACAAAGGAUUGGCUCAAGCUCAAUAGCUCAAGACUCUUAAUUUUAUAUUUUAGUGAUCCAAGAUCACAUUGAGUCUAUAGGAAAAGACAAUACUAUCAAGGAGGGAUGAGGUGUUGCUUAAUGAGCCUCUUGCUUCAUGUGCUUAGUGAUAUGCUCCAAAACCCUCAGCUACUUUCUCACAUCCACAAAUGACCUAAACCCAAAGCCAAAAUCGGUAACACCGAUUCUUCCUAUCCGGUGCCACCGAUUUCAAAUGUCAUAGCCACUGCCACAAACCCUAGGCAAAUCGGUUCUACCGAUAGGGAUCUCGGUCUCACCAAGAUGGGAUUGUAAUCUCUCUGUUUCCCUUCGUAAUGUUUCGGUCAAACUGAAGUGAGCGAUCGGUCCCACCGAGAUUGCAAUGUAAACUCUUUGUUUCCCUUUUGUAACAUUUCGGUCUCACCGAAAAGAGCAAAUCGGUCCCACCGAGUUUACCUGACCAACUCUCUGGAAAGCUUAUUACCAAAAUCGGUCUCACCGAGUUUGUGUAAUCGGUCUUACCGAGAUUACGUUAUGCCCUAACCCUAACUAAAUCGGUCCUACCGAGUUGCAUUUUGGUCCCACCGAAAAUCACUAACGGUCACUAGGUUUACUAAAUCGGUCCGACCGAGUCUGUUGAAUCGGUCCCACCGAGUUUGUUAAUUGUAUGUAACGGUUAGAUUUUGUGUGGAGGCUAUAUAUACCCCUCCACCUCCUCUUCAUUCGUGGAGAGAGCCAUCAGACUAAACCUACACUUCCAACUUACCAUUUCUGAGAGAGAACCACCUACUCAUGUGUUGAGGCCAAGAUAUUCCAUUCCUACCAUAUGAAUCUUGAUCUCUAGCCUUCCCCAAGUUGCUUUCCACUCAAAUCUUCUUUCCACCAGAUCCAAAUCCUAUGAGAGAGAGUUGAGUGUUGGGGAGACUAUCAUUUGAAGCACAAGAGCAAGGAGUUCAUCAUCAAUGCACCAUUUGUUACUUCUUGGAGAGUGGUGUCUCCUAGAUUGGCUAGGUGUCACUUGGGAGCCUCCAACAAAGAUUGUGGAGUUGAACCAAGGAGUUUGUAAGGGCAAGGAGAUCGCCUACUUCGUGAAGAUCUACCGCUAGUGAGGCAAGUCCUUCGUGGGCGACGGCCAUGGUGGGAUAGACAAGGUUGCUUCUUCGCGGACCCUUCUUGGGUGGAGCCCUCCAUGGACUCGCGCAACUGUUACCCUUCGUGGGUUGAAGUCUCCAUCAACAUGGAUGUACGAUAGCACCACCUAUCGGAACCACGCCAAAACAUUCGUGUCUCCAACUGGGUUUGAAUCCUCCAAACCCUUCCCUUUACUUUCUUGCAAGUUGCAUGCUUUAAUUUCCGCUGCCUAUAUACUCUUUGCAUGCUUGCUUGAAUUGUGUGAUGAUUGCUUGACUUGUCCUAAGAUAACUAAAAUCUGCCAAACUCUAAAAUUGGGAAAAGGUUAAGUUUUUAAAAUGUCAAGUAGUCUAAUCACCCCCCUCUAGACAUACUUCAAGGUCCUACACAUGGUGGUGCAUAGCAACGAGAGGGGAGAGUGUUGUCCACGUACCCUCGUAGACCAAAAGCGGAAGUGUUAGCACAACGCGGUUGAUGUAGUCGUAUGUCUUCAUGAUCCGACCGAUCCAAGUACCGAAUGUAUAACACCUCCGAGUUCAGCACACGUUCAGCUCAAUGACGUCCCUCGAGCUCCGAUCUAGCCCAGCUUUGAGGGAGAGUUCCGUCAGCACGACGGCAUGGUGACGAUGAUGAUGUUCUACCGAUGCAGGGCUUCGCCUAAGCACCGCUACGAUAUUAUCGAGGUGGAAUAUGGUGGAGGGGGGCACCGCACACGGCUAAUAGAUCUCAAGGAUCAAUUGUUGUGUCUAGAGGUGCCCCCCUGCCCCCGUAUAUAAAGGAUCAAGGGGGAGGGGGCAGCCGACCAGGAGGAGGCGCGCCAGGGAGGAAUCCUACUCCCACCGGGAGUAAGACUCCCUCCUUUCCUAGUCCAAGUAGGAGAGGGGAAGGAAGGGAGAGAGGAGAGGAAGGAAAGGGGGGGGGGCGCCGCCCCCCUCCUUGUCCUAUUCGGACUAGAGGGGGAGGGGGUGCGGCCAGCCCUGGCCGCCCCUCCUCUUCUCCACUUAGGGCCCAUGAGGCCCAUUAACCCCCCGGGGGUUCCGGUAACCCCCCGGUACUAUGGUAUACAUCAGAUAACCCUCAGAACCAUUCCGGUGUCCGAAUAUAGUCGUCCAUUAUAUCAAUCUUCAUGUCUCGACCAUUUCGAGACUCCUCGUCAUGUCCGUGAUCACAUCCGAGACUCUGAACUAUCUUCGGUACAUCAAAACACAUAAACUCAUAAUAUAACCGUCAUCUAACUUUAAGCGUGCGGACCCUACAGGUUCGAGGACUAUGUGGACAUGAUCGAGACACGUUUCCGGUCAAUAACCAAUAGCGGAACAUGGAUGCUCAUAUUGGCUCCUACAUUUUAUACGAAGAUCUUUAUCGGUCAAACCGCAUAACAACAUACAUUGUUCCCUUUCUCAUCGGUAUGUUACUUGCCCGAGAUUCGAUCGUCGGUAUCUCAAUACCUAGUUCAAUCUCGUGACCGGCAAGUGUCUUUACUCGUUACAUAAUGCAUCAUCCCGUAACUAACUCAUUAGCUAUAUUGCUUGCAAGGCUUAUAGUGAUGUGCAUUACCCAGAGGGCCCAGAGAUACCUCUCCGACAAUCGGAGUGACAAAUCCUAAUCUUGAAAUACGCCAACUCAACAUGUACCUUCGGAGACACCUGUAGAGAUCCUUUAUAAUCACCCAGUUACGUUGUGACGUUUGGUAGCACACAAAGUGUUCCUCCGGGAGUUGCAUAAUCUCAUAGUCAUAGGAACAUGUAUAAGUCAUGAAGAAAGCAAUAGCAACAUACUAAAUGAUCAAGUGCUAAGCUAACGGAAUGGGUCAAGUCAAUCACAUCAUUCUCCUAAUGAUGUGAUCCCAUUAAUCAAAUGACAACUCAUGUCUAUGGUUAGGAAACACAACCAUCUUUGAUCAAUGAGCUAGUCAAGUAGAGGCAUACUAGUGACACUAUGUUUGUCUAUGUAUUCACACAUGUAUCAUGUUUCCGGUUAAUACAAUUCUAGCAUGAAUAAUAAACAUUUAUCAUGAUAUAUGGAAAUAAAUAAUAACUUUAUUAUUGCCUCUAGGGCAUAUUUCCUUCAGUAUCCCACUUGCACUAGAGUCAAUAAUCUAGAUUACACAGUAAUGAUUCUAACACCCAUGGAGUCUUGGUGCUGAUCAUGUUUUGCUCGUGGAAGAGGCUUAGUCAACGGGUCUGCAACAUUCAGAUCCGUGUGUAUCUUGCAAAUCUCUAUGUCUCCCACCUGGACUUGGUCCCGGAUGGAAUUGAAGCGUCUCUUGAUGUGCUUGGUUCUCUUGUGAAAUCUGGAUUCCUUUGCCAAGGCAAUUGCACCAGUAUUGUCACAAAAGAUUUUCAUUGGACCGAUGCACUAGGUAUGACACCUAGAUCGGAUAUGAACUCCUUCAUCCAGACUCCUUCAUUUGCUUCUUCUGAAGCAGCUAUGUGCUCCGCUUCACAUGUAGAUCCUGCCACGGCGCUUUGUUUAAAACUGCACCAACUGACAGCUCCACUGUUCAAUAUAAACACAUAUCCGGUUUGCGAUUUAGAAUCGUACGGAUCAGUGUCAAAGCUUGCAUCGACGUAACCAUUUACGACUAGCUCUUUGUCGCCUCCAUAAACGAGAAACAUAUCCUUAGUCCUUUUCAGAUAUUUCAGGAUGUUCUUGACCGUUGUCUAGUGAUCCACUCGUGGAUUACUUUAGUACCUUCCUGCUAAACUUAUUGCUAAGCAUACAUCAGGUCUAGUACACAGCAUUGCUUACAUGAUAGAGCCUAUGGCUGAAGCAUAGGGAACAUCUUUCAUUUUCUCUCUAUCUUCUUCUGUGGUCGGGCAUUGAGUCUAACUUAACUUCACACCUUGUAAUACAGGCAAGAACUCUUUCUUUGCUUGAUCCAUUUUGAACUUUUUCAAAACUUUAUCAAGGUAUGUGCUUUGUGAAAGUCCAAUUAAGCAUCUUGAUCUAUCUCUAUAGAUCUUGAUGCCUAAUAUAUAAGCAGCUUCACUGAGGUCUUCCAUUGAAAAACUUUUAUUCAAGUAUCCUUUUAUGCUGUCCAGAAGUUCUAUAUCAUUUCCAAUCAACAAUAUGUCGUCUACAUAUAAUAUCAGAAAUGCUACAGAGCUCCCACUCACUUUCUUGUAAAUAGAGGCUUCUCCAAAAGUCUAUAUAAAACCAUAUGCUUUGAUCACACUAUCAAAGCGUUUGUUCCAACUCUGAGAGGCUUGCACCAAUUCAUAAAAAGAUCGCUAGAGCUUGCACACUUUGUUAGCACCUUUUGGAUCGACAAAACCUUCUGGUUGCAUCAUAUACAACUCUUCUUCUAGAAAUCCAUUCAGGAAUGCAGUUUUGACAUCCAUUUGCCAUAUUUCAUAAUUAAUAAACGCGGCAAUUGCUAACAUGAUUUAGACAGACUUAAGCAUCGCUACGGGUGAGAAAGUCUCAUCGUAGUCAACCCCUUGAACUUGUCGAAAAACUUUUGCAACAAGUCGAGCUUUGUAUACAGUAACAUUACCAUCAGCGUCAGUCUUCUUCUUGAAGAUCCAUUUAUUCUCGAUGGCUUUCCGAUCAUCGGGCAAGUCAACCAAAGUCCAUACUUUAUUCUCAUACAUGGAUCCUAUCUCAGAUUUCAUGGCCUCAAGCCAUUUUGCGGAAUCUGGGCUCAUCAUCGCUUCCUCAUAGUUUGUAGGUUCACCAUGGUCAAGUAACAUGACUUCCAGAAUAGAAUUACCGUACCACUAUGGUGCGGAUCUUACUUUUGUUGACCUACGAGGUUCCGUAGUAACUUGAUCUGAAGUUUCAUGAUCAAUAUCAUUAGCUUCCUCACUAAGUGAUGUAGUUGUCACAGGAACCGGUUUCUAUGAUGAACUACUUUCCAAUAAGGGAGCAGGUACAGUUACCUCAUUAAGUUCUACUUUCCUUCCACUCACUUCUUUUGAGAGAAACUCCUUCUCUAGAAGGGAUCCAAAUUUAGCAACAAAAGUCUUGCCUUCAGAUCUGUGAUAGAAGGUGUACCCAAUAGUCUCCUUUGGGUAUCCUAUGAAGACACAUUUCUCCGAUUUGGGUUCGAGCUUAUCAGGUUGAAGUUUUUUCACAUAAGCAUCGCAGCCCCAAACUUUAAGAAACGACAACUUUGGUUUCUUGCCAAACCACAGUUCAUAAGGCGUCGUAUCAACGGAUUUUGAUGGUGCCCUAUUUAACGUGAAUGAUGCCGUCUCUAAAGCAUAACCACAAAUGAUAGUGGUAAAUCAGUAAGAGAUAUCAUAGAUUGCACCAUAUCUAGUAAAGUACGAUUACGACGUUCGGACACACCAUUACGUUGUGGUGUUCCGGGUGGCGUGAGUUGCGAAACUAUUCUGCAUUGUUUCAACUGUAAACCAAACUUGUAACUCAAAUAUUCUCCUCCACGAUCAGAUCGUAGAAACUUUAUUUUUUGUUACGAUGAUUUUCCACUUCACUCUGAAAUUCUUUGAACUUUUCAAAUGUUUCAGACUUAUGUUUCAUUAAGUAGAUAUACCCAUAUCUGCUCAAAUCAUCUGUGAAGGUGAGAAAAUAACGAUACCCGCCGCGAGCCUCAAUGUUCAUUGGACCACAUACAUCAGUAUGUAUGAUUUCCAACAAAUCUGUUGCUCGCUCCAUACUUUCGGAGAACGGCGUUUUAGUCAUCUUGCCCAUGAGGCAUGGCUCGCAAGUACCAAGUGAUUCAUAAUCAAGUGAUUCCAGAAGUCAAUCAGUAUGGAGUUUCUUCAUGCGCUUUACACCAAUAUGACCCAAACGACAGUGCCAGAAAUAAGUUGCACUAUCAUUAUCAACACUGCAUCUUUUGGCUUCGACACUAUGAAUAUGUGUAUCACUAUUAUCGAGAUUCAAUAAAAAUAGACCACUCUUCAAGGGUGCAUGACCAUAAAAGAUAUUACUCAUAUAAAUAGAACAACCAUUAUUCUCUGAUUUAAAUGAAUAACCGUCUCGCAUCAAACAAGAUCCAGAUAUAAUGUUCAUGCUUAACACUAGCACCAAAUAACAAUUAUUCAGGUCUAAAACUAAUCCCGAAGGUAGAUGUAGAGGUAGCGUGCCGACCGCGGUCACAUCGACUUUGGAACCAUUUCCCACGCACAUCGUCACCUCGUCCUUAGCCAAUCUUCGCUUAAUCUAUAGUCCCUGUUUCGAGUUGCAAAUAUUAGCAACAGAACCAGUAUCAAAUACCCAGGUGCUACUGCGAGUAUUAGUAAGGUACACAUCAAUAACAUGUAUAUCACAUAUACCUUUGUUCACCUUGCCAUCCUUCUUAUCCGCCAAAUACUUGGGGCAGUUCCGCUUCCAGUGACCAGUCUGCUUGCAGUAGAAGCGCUCAGUCUCAGGCUUAGGUCCAGACUUGGGUUUCUUCUCUUGAGCAGCAACGUGUUUGCCGUCCUUCUUGAAGUUCCCCUUCUUCUUCCCUUUACCUUUUUUCUUGAAACUGGUGGUCUUGUUGACCAUCAACACUUGAUGCUCCUUUUUGAUUUCUACUUCCGCGGCUUUUAGCAUUGCCAAGAGCUCGGGAAUAGUCUUGUUCAUCCCUUGCAUAUUAUAGUUCAUCACGAAGCUCUUGUAGCUUGGUGGCAGUGAUUGAAGAAUUCUGUCAAUGACAUUAUCACCAGGAAGAUUAACUCCUAGUUGAAUCAAAUGAUUAUUAUACCCAGACAUUUUGAAGUAUAUGUUCACUGACAGAACUAUUCUCUUCCAUCUUGCAGCUAUAGAACUUAUUGGAGAUUUCAUAUCUCUCAAUCCGAGCAUUUGCUUGAAAUAUUAACUUCAACUCUUGGAACAUCUCAUAUGCUCCAUGACGUUCAAAACAUCGUUGAAGUCCCGGUUCUAAGCCGUAAAGCAUGGCACACUAAACUAUAGAGUAGUCAUCAACACGCGACUGCCAAGCAUUCACAAUGUCUGCAGUAGCUGCGCAGGUGGUACACCUAGCGGUGCUUCCAGGAUGUAACUCUUCUGUGCAACAAUGAGGAUAAUCCUCAAGUUACGGACCCAGUCUGUGUAAUUGCUACCAUCAUCUUUCAACUUAGCUUUCUCAAGGAACGCAUUAAAAUUCAAUGAAACAACAACACGAGCCAUCUAUCUACAACAAACAUAGACAAGCAAAAUACUAUCAGGUACUAAGUUCAUGAUAAAUUUAAGUUCAAUUAAUCAUAUUAUUUAAGAACUCUCACUUAGAUAGACAUCCCUCUAUUCAUCUAAGUGAUCACGUGAUCCAAAUCAACUAAACCAUGUCCGAUCAUCACGUGAGAUGGAGUAGUUUCCAAUGGUGAACAUCACUAUGUUGAUCAUAUCUACUAUAUGAUUCAUGCUCGACCUUUCGGUCUCAGUGUUCCGAGGCCAUAUCUGUAUAUGCUAGUGAAAGAUCGUGGAUUUCUCCUAGAGGGGGGGUGAAUAGGCGUUUUAAAAUAAUUACGGUAUAGGCUUGAACAAAUGCGGAAUAAACCUAACGGUUAAAUUGUCAAGCACAAAACCUACAACAACUAGGCUCACCUAUGUGCACCAACAACUUAUGCUAAGCAAGAUAAGAAACUAUGUGAUAGCAAGAUAUAUGACAAGGAACAAAAUGGCUAUCACAAAGUAAAGUGCAUAAGUAAAGGGCUCGGGUAAGAGAUAACCGAGGCACGCGGAGACGAUGAUGUAUCCCGAAGUUCACACCCUUGCGGAUGCUAAUCUCCGUUUGGAGUGGUGUGGAGGCACAAUGCUCCCCAAGAAGCCACUAGGGCCACCGUAAUCUCCUCACGCCCUCACACAAUGCAAGAUGUCGUGAUUCCACCAAGGGACCCUUGAGGGCGGUCACCGAACCCGUACAAAUGGCGACCCUUGGGGGCGGUCACCGAACCCGUACACUUUGGCAACCCUUGGGGGCGGUCACCGGUACCCGUCAAAUUGCUCGGGGCGAUCUCCACAACCUAAUUGGAGACCCCGACACUUGCCCGAAGCUUUACACCACAAUGAUUGAGCUCCGAACACCACCAACCGUCUAGGGCGCCCAAGCACCCAAGAGGAACAAGCUCAAAGGUACCAAGCACCCAAGAGUAAUAAGCUUCUCAACUUGUAGCUUCCACGUAUCACCAUGGAGAACUCAAACCGAUGCACAAAUGCAAUGGCAAGGGUACACAGAGUACCCAAGUCCUUCUCUCUCAAAUCCCACCAAAGCAACUAAUGCUAGGGAGGAAAGUAAGAGGAAGAACAAGAAGGAGAACACAAAGAACUCCAAGAUCUAGAUCCAAGGGGUUCCCCUCACAUAGAGGAGAAAGUGAUUGGUGGAAGUGUGGAUCUAGAUCUCCUCUCUCUUUUCCCUCAAAAACUAGCAAGAAUCCAUGGAGGGAUUGAGAGUUAGCAAGCUCAAAGAAGGUCAACAAUGGGGGCAAAAACGAGCUCAAGAGAUGGGGAACCAUUGGGGAAGAAGACCCCCUUAAAUAGGUCCCCACGAAUCUGCCCGUUAUGUGCGGAAACCUGUAGGACCGGUACAACCGGUGCAUGAACCGGUACAACCGGCCAAAGCAGAGGAAAAACCAACCUGGGAAAAUCUCUAAGCGGUACAACAGCCUGGGGAACCGGUAGAACCGGUUAAACCGGUCAACAACCGCCCAAGAACCGCUCCAAAACAGAAACUAGUCCGGUGGUAGAGCGGUACAUGGCCGGUACAACCUCCGGACCAAUUCUGGAGCGGUACAACCGCUCCAAACACUGGUUGUACCGGUCAACCGGUACAACCUCUCUACGGGGCGGUACAACCUCUCUAAGUAAAACAGGCAAUAUCAAAACAGCCACAACUUUCGCAUACGAGCUCCGAAUUCGAUGAAGCCAAGUUUGUUGGAAAGCUAGCAACAAGGGCUAACACAAUCUUGAUAGAAAUACCAAUAAGAAGAAAAUGAGAAAAGGCCCAUAAGAAAAUGGUGAGAACCCUUCCUUGGAAAGACCGGUAAAACCUCCAACACCGAAAACAUCAUAGAAGACGCAUGCGAACUCCGUUUUCGAUGAACUCAAGCUUGUCAUCAAGAUGACCAUAAGCUCUAAGACUCACAAAGAGAACCAAACAAGAAAAAAGAAACAUGAUGCAAGGAUGCAAUGGUUUGAGCUCUCUACUAACGAUACGAUCAAGCUACCAACUUGAGAGCCCCCCUUGAUAGUACGGCAAACGAUCCUAUAACUCGGUCUCCCAACUACCACCACGAGACCGGUAAAAUAGAAAACCUAUCAAGGGCAAACCUUUGCCUUGCACAUGGUACACUUGAGCUAGAUGAAGACGAUCUUGACUCCCUCAAGUUGGACCACCUUUCUUGAUUGCGUUGGCUCGAUGAAGACUAGAUGAUUGCUCCCCUAUAGUCCACUAUGGGUGAGCGACUCUUCGGCACAUCUUCACAAGUCCAUUGACACCACAAUGGAUGGCAAGAUUCAAACUUGAUUGCUCCCCCAUACUCCAUUAUGGGUGAGCCACUCUUCGUGUUGCUCCACUUGAACUUGCACACAGCAAACUUGAUGACGAUCACCACUUGAUGUCAUCCUCCAUGGGUUGUAUGGGAUCUUCCUCUUGACGCAAGACCAUGGAAACAUACCUAACCCCACAAAGAACUCUCACGUAGACCAUGGGUUAGUACACAAAGCGUAAUGAACAAUGCUUACCAUACCAUGGGAACACUUGGUCCCUCUCGGUACAACUUGUGCGCUUUGUGUGUUGAUCAACUUGAAUCACUCUCUGUACUUAGGCUAGAUCAACCUUGAAUCUUUCCAACUCUAUUCAUUUGGAUGAUGUCUUGAAGGUAAACAUGAAUGAUCACAUAAUCUUCUUAUUCAAGACAUGCUUGCAAUAAGCUCAACACUCACAUGACCAAUCUUUGGAUAAUUCCUUAAUAGCACCUUGGUCAACUCAUAAACUCCUUGAAACCAACGCAUGGACUUCAAGAAAAGCCUAUGGACAAAACCUUCAAAUAUAACUCAAGGCAACCAUUAGUCCAUAGAGAUUGUCAUCAAUUACCAAAACCAAACAUGGGGGCAUCGCAUGUUCUUUCAAUGACCCCCAUUUUGGUAAUUGAUGACAAUCACUUUCAAGAGAGUUUAUAUAAGGAAUUAUGCAUCACCAUGCAAUACAACAACCAAUAGUGCAUGCAAAUGAGAUGCAAAUGCUAAGGAACAAAACCAAAGCAAGAGAAGACAACUCUCUAUACUUCUCCACACAACUCUCUGAAACUUCUCCCCCAUUGGCAUCGAUUGCCAAAAUGGGCUAAAAGCUUAGAAGGUCAAUAUAAAAUGUGUUCCUCCAUAAAUUGUGUAUUUCUCAACAAGAUAGUGGAAUGCAAUACACAUAUCCAAUGGUAAAUACUUGGAGGAAGACAAACUAUAUUGAGGCCCAAAGAUUGCAAAAGGAAGAUAUGCCACAAAGACAUAAUCAAAGAGAGAAACACGCAAUCAAGCAAUCAAAAGAUACCAAUUGAAGCAAGCUAUCAAAAGAUACCAAUUGAACCAACUAGGCCAAUGAUCCUACGAGCCACAUGAAUAAAGGAUAUUAUGAUAAGAGCGGAGCAGUGUUCCAAAGAAACUAGAGAAGCUCCCCAUGAUUUGUUCACAUCAAGAAUUUUUGUAUUUGGAUACAAAGUGCACAAAAUAGGAUCAUAGCUCCCCUAAAAUUAAUAGAAACUUACAACAAGUGCAACUGAGCAUAUAGGAAACUAAGCCUAGUACUUGCAACAAACACAUGGUUGAGCAACAAGUAAGAGAGGCAACUUAAGAGUGGGCUCAACCAAAAAGAUGUGUGUGACUUAAGGCAAUGCACUUGAGAAGACUUAUGGACAAAAGAGCAUUAAGCAACAAUAAAGUCUUCAAAGAAUGAGGCACACGGUGCAAGGCCUAUCAUUCCCACACACAACUAGUGAAUGGGUUCACAAGCUUACUAAUAAGCAGAAGAGAACCUAUGCUUGUGACAACCCGUGGUGAAGAUAGAAAAUGAAAUCCUCAUCAAGACGAGGGAUACCAAUUAAGAUGGCAAAGGCCUCGUCAAGACAAGCAUGAGGAAAAAGAUCUUCACCACAAAAGAGUGCAUCAAGAUGCAACAAGAUAAGACCCGCACUCAAGACAAGAUCUUUCACGGAGCACCAAAGAAAUAACAAAAGAAAGACAAGAUGGACGUGAAAGAAAUGAUAUCAUCUAGAGAUGUAAUUUCUCUCAUGUGUAUAAGGUUCUAGGUAGACAAAAUCAUGAUGAUAUAUGUCUACAAAGAAGGAUGUACACCCGACAUAGUUACAACACGACGGAAUAAGAUAUCCAAAAGGAAGUCAUACAUAUACCAAUAAGAUAUUUGCUUGGAAGCAUAGCACAUGGCUAGAUAUGGUCUUAUUGUAUAUAAAUGAAUUCCUAUCACACAACCAUCAAAGACAUCACAACUAGCAACAUGAGAUCAUUGUUGGGAUGCUUUGAGAAAGGAAACAAGUAUCACAAGAAAUAAUGAAUACAUGCCAUGAUACAACCUACACAAGGUUGAUGCAAGAAAUGUGUGCAUGAAGUAGAUGGUAGUUCAUUGAUCAUCCUAGCUUGACUCCAAUAAGCACAUGGUGGAAACACCUUCCUUGUGAAUGAGCCGACCAUCCAAUGCAUCUCCAAAUGUUCCUAGAAGAACAACACAAACUAAAUGGUACCCAAAAUCAUUGGGACCACAUAGUUAGAAACACCAAUACAUAGGAUAAACUUCACAUAAAUAUGUGCAUAUAGAUAUGAAAAUGAAUUUCAUGCACAUCUCAUCCAAAUUGAGGCUAGGUGGAGUUUCCCCUAUAUAUUGAGUCAAAGAAAGAAAACAUGCCAAAUAACAUACAAGAAGUAAAUAUGCAUGCUUGAAACUUUCAAGAACCGAAACCAAUGAAAACGAAAUGCCAAGUGAAAAAGGAUACCAAAUAGAUAAAUCAUCACUUGGAAUAUAUCAUUAAAGAUACGUCAAGGAAUGAGAUAUCCAUUGACACACACUAAAUUAAAGAUGUCAAACUCCCAAAGAGAGGAUGGUUCCAAACAAACCAAGCUCUCAACAAAGUUUCAUGAUGGCACAAGGUACCAAAAAGAAAACGGCUUGCCUUCCACCAACACACACUUGAUAAGGAUCACAAGAAGAGUGUUCUAAAGAAAAUAGGAUAGGUCCCCCACGAGUUGUGCACUGGAGAGAAUUUGCUUUUGAAUACAAAAUGCACAAGGUGGGAUCACCACUUUCACUGUAUCUAGAAAACACUAGACAAGAACAAGAAAUUAACAAGAUCCACAAGUGGUAUGGAAGACAAGGGAGUUGACACAAACCUUGGCAAAAGAAAAGGCAAA
rnacentral:lncRNA from 1 species